rnacentral:rRNA from 1 species
GGGCUCACACAAGCGGUGGAGGAUGUGGCUUAAUUCGAGGCUACGCGAAGAACCUUAUCCUAGUCUUGACAUGCACGGAUUAACUCCCUGAAAGGGGAGCCACGCCCGCAAGGGUGGAACGUGCACAGGUGCUGCAUGGCUGUCGUCAGCUCGUGUCGUGAGAUGUCGGGUUAAGUCCCUUAACGAGCGAAACCCUUGUCGCUAGUUGCCAGCGAGUCAAGUCGGGGACUCUAGCGAGACUGCCGGUGUUAAACCGGAGGAAGGUGGGGAUGACGUCAAGUCCUCAUGGCCUUUAUGACUAGGGCCGCACACGUCCUACAAUGGCGUGCACAAAGGGAAGCAAAGCUGCGAGGCCAAGCAAAUCCCAAAAAUCACGCCCCAGUUCGGAUUGCAGGCUGCAACUCGCCUGCAUGAAGCCGGAAUCGCUAGUAAUCGCGGGUCAGCAUACCGCGGUGAAUGUGUUCCUGAGCCUU